CACAUACAUACUUUAUGGUUCGUUGCUUAAACUUUAUUACUGCUCAUUUUCGUUUGUCUUGGGAGCCGUUUGUUAGCGCUUCAAAACGGCGAGCUCGCCAGCUGCGCCUUCGUGGCAGUGACGCAUCUGCAAUGGACGCUACGCGCGGUGUCUGCACCGCUAUGCCACUGGCCGCGCUGGCUUUGGCGAUGUGCUUGUCGUGGCCGCACGCCGCGUCCCCUGGCGGUACCGCUACACGCGUGUGGCAUAACGUGACUAAGGUGAAAGAACAAAACUUCAAGGGUUACGAAGGUGUGGUGAGCCUCGGCAUCGUCCAGGGGUCCAGUCAGAAAAAUUACUUCGACGUGCUGCAGCAAGUCGAAUCGAUCACGAUUUACGACGGUAAUGGCACGCUGGUGUGGGCCACGGUGGCUGUUUCCGAAUCGAACUGCAGCACAGCGACACCUUUCGUAGUGGGGACGUGCGUUGCGUACAUGCCUUCACGGACAUGCACUAUGGCGAUCUACAUCGGGCCUUUGGGAGUUCACCUGUCCACUCAGUACUACUAUUGCGCAUAGACAGCUUAUACCAACGAUAUAUAUAUAUAUAUAUAUAUAUAUAUAUAUAUAUAU